UACUACUAAGGCUCAGCCUUGCGAUGGAGGACCUUUUUUCCGCACGGGAGAAAGGCCUCCCAAACUCCUCGGCGUCUUGUAAGAGUGUCCCGCGUAGCAAGUCUCUCGCGACGACAUCCUCUGAACAAAACGCCAGUUCAACGAAC
rnacentral:misc_RNA from 1 species